rnacentral:rRNA from 1 species
AACGAACGCUGGCGGCAGGCUUAACACAUGCAAGUCGAACGGACCCUUCGGGGUUAGUGGCGGACGGGUGAGUAACACGUGGGAACGUGCCUUUAGGUUCGGAACAACACAGGGGAACUUGUGCUAAUACCGGAUGUGCCCUUCGGGGGAAAGAUUUAUCGCCUUUAGAGCGGCCCGCGUCUGAUUAGCUAGUUGGUGGGGUAAAGGCCCACCAAGCCAACGAUCUGUAGCUGGUCUGAGAGGACGACCAGCCACACUGGAACUGAGACACGGUCCAGAGUCCUACGGGAGGCAGCAGUGGGGAAUUUUGGACAAUGGGCGAAAGCCUGAUCCAGCCAGUCCGCGUGCAGGAUGAAGGCCCUCGGGUUGUAAACUGCUUUUGUACAGAACGAAAAGGUUUCUACUAAUACUAGGAGCUCAUGACGGUACUGUAAGAAUAAGCACCGGCUAACUACGUGCCAGCCGCCGCGGUAA